rnacentral:rRNA from 1 species
CCUACGGGAGGCUGCAGUCGAGAAUCAUUCACAAUGGGGGAAACCCUGAUGGUGCGACGCCGCGUGGGUGAAGGAGCGUUUCGGCGCGUAAAGCCCUAUCGGCAGGGAAGAAGAAGGACGGUACCUGACUAAGAAGCCCCGGCUAACUACGUGCCAGCAGCCGCGGUAAUACGUAGGGGGCAAGCGUUAUCCGGAUUUACUGGGUGUAAAGGGGGCGCAGACGGCAGCGCAAGCCAGGAGUGAAAGCCCGGGGCCCAACCCCGGGACUGCUCUUGGAACUGCGCGGCUGGAGUGCAGGAGGGGCAGGCGGAAUUCCUGGUGUAGCGGUGAAAUGCGUAGAUAUCAGGAGGAACACCGGUGGCGAAGGCGGCCUGCUGGACUGCGACUGACGUUGAGGCCCGAAAGCGUGGGGAGCAAACAGGAUUAGAUACCCGAGUAGUC